AGUACAGUUGUUGGGUGAUAUGGUAGUUGUAUGUUUAGUUUUUAAGAACCUGCCAAACUGUUUUCCAGAGUGGCUGUACCAUUUUACAUUCCCACCAGCAAC
rnacentral:pre_miRNA from 1 species